GACGAACGCUGGCGGCGUGCCUAAUACAUGCAAGUCGAACGCAGUGGGGACGGGUGAGUAACACGUGGGUAACCUCCCAUCAGAGGGGAUAACACUUGGAAACAGGUGCUAAACCGAUACUGAUGGAUGGACCCGCGGUGCAUUAGGUAGUUGGUGAGGUAACGGCUCACCAAGGCCACGAUGAAUAGCAGACCCGAGAGGGUGAUCGGCGACACUGUGAUGUAGACACGGCCGAGACGCCUACGGUAGGCAGCAGUAGGGACUCUUCGGCAAUGGACGAAAGUCUGACCGAGCAACGCCGCGUGAGUGAUGAAGGUUUUCGGAUCGUAUAACUCUGUUGGUAGAGAAGCGGUAUCUAACCAGAAAGCCACGGCUAACUACGUGCCAGCAGCCGCGGUAAUUC
rnacentral:rRNA from 1 species